GUCGCAAGACCAAAGUGGGGGACCUUCGGGCCUCAUGCCAUCAGAUGUGCCCAGAUGGGAUUAGCUAGUAGGUGGGGUAACGGCUCACCUAGGCGACGAUCCCUAGCUGGUCUGAGAGGAUGACCAGCCACACUGGAACUGAGACACGGUCCAGACUCCUACGGGAGGCAGCAGUGGGGAAUAUUGCACAAUGGGCGCAAGCCUGAUGCAGCCAUGCCGCGUGUGUGAAGAAGGCCUUCGGGUUGUAAAGCACUUUCAGCGGGGAGGAAGGCGGUGAGGUUAAUAACCUCAUCGAUUGACGUUACCCGCAGAAGAAGCACCGGCUAACUCCGUGCCAGCAGCCGCGGUAAUACGGAGGGUGCAAGCGUUAAUCGGAAUUACUGGGCGUAAAGCGCACGCAGGCGGUCUGUCAAGUCGGAUGUGAAAUCCCCGGGCUCAACCUGGGAACUGCAUUCGAAACUGGCAGGCUAGAGUCUUGUAGAGGGGGGUAGAAUUCCAGGUGUAGCGGUGAAAUGCGUAGAGAUCUGGAGGAAUACCGGUGGCGAAGGCGGCCCCCUGGACAAAGACUGACGCUCAGGUGCGAAAGCGUGGGGAGCAAACAGGAUUAGAUACCCUGGUAGUCCACGCCGUAAACGAUGUCGAUUUGGAGGUUGUGCCCUUGAGGCGUGGCUUCCGGAGCUAACGCGUUAAAUCGACCGCCUGGGGAGUACGGCCGCAAGGUUAAAACUCAAAUGAAUUGACGGGGGCCCGCACAAGCGGUGGAGCAUGUGGUUUAAUUCGAUGCAACGCGAAGAACCUUACCUGGUCUUGACAUCCACAGAACUUUCCAGAGAUGGAUUGGUGCCUUCGGGAACUGUGAGACAGGUGCUGCAUGGCUGUCGUCAGCUCGUGUUGUGAAAUGUUGGGUUAAGUCCCGCAACGAGCGCAACCCUUAUCCUUUGUUGCCAGCGGUCCGGCCGGGAACUCAAAGGAGACUGCCAGUGAUAAACUGGAGGAAGGUGGGGAUGACGUCAAGUCAUCAUGGCCCUUACGACCAGGGCUACACACGUGCUACAAUGGCAUAUACAAAGAGAAGCGACCUCGCGAGAGCAAGCGGACCUCAUAAAGUAUGUCGUAGUCCGGAUUGGAGUCUGCAACUCGACUCCAUGAAGUCGGAAUCGCUAGUAAUCGUAGAUCAGAAUGCUACGGUGAAUACGUUCCCGGGCCUUGUACACACCGCCCGUCACACCAUGGGAGUGGGUUGCAAAAGAAGUAGGUAGCUUAACCUUCGGGAGGGCGCUUACCACUUUGUGAUUCAUGACUGGGGUGAAGUCGUAACAAGGUAACCGUAGGGGAACCUGCGGUUGGAUCACCUCCUUA
rnacentral:rRNA from 1 species